rnacentral:rRNA from 1 species
CUUUUAUGGAGAGUUUGAUCCUGGCUCAGGACGAACGCUGGCGGCGUGCCUAAUACAUGCAAGUCGUGCGGAGGAAGCCGACGGAUCCCUUCGGGGUGAAGACGGUGGAAUCAGCGGCGGACGGGUGAGUAACACGUGGGCAACCUGCCUGCAAGACCGGGAUAACUCCGGGAAACCGGGGCUAAUACCGGAUAGGACUUUUCAUCGCCUGAUGGGAAG